rnacentral:piRNA from 1 species
UCUUGACGAAAUUUGCAUUUUAUCAGA